CAGUCUGUUGGCGCCCUCUGCAGGCAUUUGUUAUAAUGCGUAAUGUACAAUAGCGCUAUUGUUCAUAAUACAUUAUGUAUUUUUACAAUUAUAUUCAAUAAAA